rnacentral:rRNA from 1 species
CCUACGGGAGGCUGCAGUAGGGAAUUUUCGGCAAUGGGGGAAACCCUGACCCAGCGACGCCGCGUGAAUGAAGAAGUUAUUCGUAAUGUAAAGUUCUUUUAACAGGGAAGAAAGAGAAAUUUGACGAUACCUGAGGCAUAACCCACGGCAAACUACGUGCCAGCAGCCGGGGUAAUACGUAGGGAGCGUCCGUUAUCCGGGAUUGUUGGGCGUAAAGGGUGCGUAGAGGGAAUAGUAAGUCUUUGGUAAAAAUGCUGGGCUCAACCCCGUAGGGCAAAAGAUACUGCACAGCUAGAGUAUGAAAGAGGUAAGUGGAACUACAUGUGUAGCGGUAAAAUGCGUAAAUAUAUGUAAGAACACCAGUGGCGAAGGCGGCUUGCUGGGUUGAUACUGACAUUGAGGCACGAAAGCGUGGGGAGCAAACAGGAUUAGAUACCCCAGUAGUC